rnacentral:rRNA from 1 species
UUAAACUGAAGAGUUUGAUCAUGGCUCAGAUUGAACGCUGGCGGCAGGCUUAACACAUGCAAGUCGAGCGGGGAGAAGGUAGCUUGCUACUGGAACCUAGCGGCGGACGGGUGAGUAAUACUUAGGAAUCUGCCUAUUAGUGGGGGACAACGUUCCGAAAGGAGCGCUAAUACCGCAUACGCCCUACGGGGGAAAGCAGGG